rnacentral:rRNA from 1 species
CCACCUACGGGGGGCAGCAGUAGGGAAUCUUCCACAAUGGACGAAAGUCUGAUGGAGCAACGCCGCGUGAGUGAAGAAGGGUUUCGGCUCGUAAAGCUCUGUUGGUAGUGAAGAAAGAUAGAGGUAGUAACUGGCCUUUAUUUGACGGUAAUUACUUAGAAGGUCACGGCUAACUACGUGCCAGCAGCCGCGGUAAUACGUAGGUGGCAAGCGUUGUCCGGAUUUAUUGGGCGUAAAGCGAGUGCAGGCGGUUCAAUAAGGCUGAUGUGGAAGCCUUUGGCCCAAACGGGGAAAU